rnacentral:rRNA from 1 species
GACGAACGCUGGCGGCAGGCCUAACACAUGCAAGUCGAGCGGAGCGGCGGACGGGUGAGUAAUGCCUAGGAAUCUGCCUGGUAGUGGGGGCUAACGUCCGGAAACGGGCGCUCAUACCGCAUACUAUCAGAUAAGCCUAGGUCGGAGUAGCUAGUUGGUGGGGUAAAGGCCUACCAAGGCGACGAUCCGUAACUGGGCUGAGAGGAUGAUCAGUCAAACGGGAACGGAGAAACGGUCCAGACGCCUACGGGAGGCAGAAGUGGGGAAUAUUGGACAAUGGGCGAAAUCCUGAUCCAGCCACGCCGCGGGUGUGAAGAAGGUCUUCGGAUUGUAAAGCACUGUAAGUUGGGAGGCGUUACCAACAGAAUAAGCACCGGCUAACUUCGUGCCAGCAGCCGCGGUAAUAC